GUUUGUCUGUGGUGCGCCGGGUGUACCUGUACAGCCCAUCACGUGGCCUUUUUUUAAAAACAAUGAAAACUGGUUCUUUUGGUUAACCAGUUAAACUAAGGAAAAUAAAAACUCCCGCUCGUUCAAAACCUAGGCUGCACACAGAUCGAUUUCGUCUAUCUCCUCCUCCAUAGCUUUGCACAGCCACAGCUCUAUUUCGGUGAAUUCAUAGCUGCACAGCUUCCUACAGCCUGAAGAAGCUCCCCCCACUUCGUCUUCUCCAUCUGAGGAGCAGAUUUCAGCCAAAACCCAGAAACCCACUUCGUCUUCUCCAGCUGCUUCCUCCAUCUCGUUAUGGAAGCUCAAAAAAGGGGAUCAACAAAAGGAAAGCGCAAAGUCGACAGUAAUGUGCAACAAUCAAGAGUUGGCCAGGAUGCAUUUUUUAAUUUCAUGUAAGUUACACGUACAUCUAAAAAUCGAAAAUGUAGUUGCUUAAUAUUAUGAUGGUUUUUUGAUUAAAAAUAAAUGAUUUACAAAAAAAAAAAAAA